GAUGAACGCUGGCGGCGUGCCUAAUACAUGCAAGUCGAGCGAACAGAUAAGGAGCUUGCUCCUUUGACGUUAGCGGCGGACGGGUGAGUAACACGUGGGUAACCUAUCUAUAAGACUGGAAUAACUCCGGGAAACCGGGGCUAAUGCCGGAUAACAUGUUGAACCGCAUGGUUCUACAGUGAAAGGCGGCUUUGCUGUCACUUAUAGAUGGACCCGCGCCGUAUUAGCUAGUGGUGAGGUAACGGCUCACCAAGGCAACGAUACGUAGCCGACCUGAGAGGGUGAUCGGCCACACUGGAACUGAGACACGGUCCAGACUCCUACGGGAGGCAGCAGUAGGGAAUCUUCCGCAAUGGGCGAAAGCCUGACGGAGCAACGCCGCGUGAGUGAUGAAGGUCUUCGGAUCGUAAAACUCUGUUAUUAGGGAAGAACAAAUGCGUAAGUAACUGUGCGCGUCUUGACGGUACCUAAUCAGAAAGCCACGGCUAACUACGUG
rnacentral:rRNA from 1 species